rnacentral:lncRNA from 1 species
CUACUUCGCCCUGCAGCUGCUCCUGUGCGCCUGAAGCUCUGACGCCGUCGAUCUAAUCCGGAGGCCGCCGCGGAACCGACGUUCUCCGGCUAUAAAAGGGACCCCCGAAGCCUUCGAGCUCCUCAGCAACCCCCAUAGACCAGUAGCUCCCCUCCCCACAGCCUAAUUUAGCCCGAGCCGUCUCCUGUGCGCCUCUCUGUCAGUAGCGUCGCCGUCGGCCUCCGGCUAAAUUCCGGCAGUCCCGAGCCCCUCUCCUCCUCCAAGAAACCCUGCUAGCCUGCCCAUACCCCUAGGAAGCCGUUCCCACUGUCGAGCCUAGCCAGGAGCCACUGGAGACCAGAGCCGAAGGAAGGCAGAAGCUCCAUCCGCCAUUGUUGAGGUGCUGCUCAACCUCGAGCUCCGCAGCUGCCCCCAACCUCCAAAAAUGGAUGUGGCGAUCCUUCCAUAGCACGUGCAUAGUCGGAGGGUGGCGGGAGAUGCUCUGUGCCGCCGGCAAUCGUCACCGGAGUGCGGCUCUGUCCCUGUCCACCGCGUGCGCAGGAGGUGAGGGAAGAACCCAACAGGUGGCCCCCACCUGUCGGUGAGUGAGCCCAGCCCCGAGUGGCGCACAUCCCCUGGUGCGUUUCCUUUUGUGCAAACCGUAUUCGCUUAUGACCGUUUCGGCAAACAUGCUUUCUCUCUGGCUAAAACGUAAUGCACCCGAAACGUUUUCUUUUGUUUUGAUUUUAAAAAAUAGAUUUGACCAGUAGGCUUGACUGGCUAUAUCUUUUUAUAGGAAACUCCAAAUCACUUGAUUCUUUUUCCUACUGGUUUAGAAUUUCAUCUAGUUUAUUUUAGGAUUUAUUAGAAAAAAACCAUACGACUUUUGUGUGUUGUUUUGGUUAUGUUUGUUGAUUCAAAUAUUUUUAAACUAGGAAUUUGAAGAGUGGAUACCUACU